UCCGUUGUGGUCUAGGGGCUAGGAUUUGCCGCUCUCAGCUCGAGAGUCAUCUCACUUACAAGUGCCGGCAAGGCCCGGGUUCGAUUCCCGGCGACGGAA
rnacentral:tRNA from 2 species